ensembl:lncRNA
UGUUCUGAUUGUUUACAUUAAAAUGUAAAACUUGAUGAUAAAGUAUGAUAAGUUGAAAAAAGUGACAUUUGAAGGUCAGAAAGUGACUUUUCAUCAAAAGUACCAUAACAAAACUUGUUUCCAUUCAUCCUAUGUGUCCAUGCACACUUGUGCUCUUUAUCCGCUCAAAACGCUAUACAGCGCUUCAGAAGGCGCUAGGAGCAAAGGAAAGUGGUUUUUCUAACAAACUCAUGUAAUCAAUUGCCCGACGUACUCCAAUUUGAUUUUUUUCACAUAGUUAGACAUAAUAUAGUACUAUGAAAUGUUUCUGACCUAAAAUAAUACGAAAUAUGAUUGUUUACAUUAAAAUGUAAAACUUGAUGAUAAAGUAUGAUAAGUUGAAAAAAGUGACAUUUGAAGGUCAGAAAGUCACUUUUCAUCAAAAGUACCAUAACAAAACUUGUUUCCAUUCAUCCUGUGUGUCCAUGCACACUUGUGCUCUUUAUCCGCUCAAAACGCUAUACAGCGCUUCAGAAGGCGCUAGGAGCAAAGGAAAGUGGUUUUUCUAACAAACUCGUAAUCAAUUGCCCGACGUACUCCAAUUUGAUUUUUUUUACAUAGGUAGACAUAAUAUAGUACUAUGAAAUGUUUCUGACCUAAAAUAAUACGAAAUAUGAUUGUUUACAUUAAAAUGUAAAACUUGAUGAUAACGUAUGAUAAGUUGAAAAAAGUGACAUUUGAAGGUCAGAAAGUCACUUUUCAUCAAAAGUACCAUAACAAAACUUGUUUCCAUUCAUCCUGUGUGUCCAUGCACACUUGUGCUCUUUAUCCGCUCAAAACGCUAUACAGCGCUUCAGAAGGCGCUAGGAGCAAAGGAAGUGGUUAAGUGGUUUUUCUAACAAACUCAUGUAAUCAAUUGCCCGACGUACUCCAAUUUGAUUUUUUUUUACAUAGGUAGACAUAAUAUAGUACUAUGAAAUGUUUCUGACCUAAAUAAUACGAAAUAUGAUUGUUUACAUUAAAAUCUAAAACUUGAUGAUAAGUAUGAUAAGUUGAAAAAAGUGACAUUUGAAGGUCAGAAAGUCACUUUUCAUCAAAAGUACCAUAACAAAACUUGUUUCCAUUCAUCCUGUGUGUCCAUGCACACUUGUGCUCUUUAUCCGCUCAAAACGCUAUACAGCGAACGAGAAGGCGCUAGGAGCAAAGGAAAGUGGUUUUUCUAACAAACUCAUGUAAUCAAGUUGCCCGACGUACUCCAAUUUGAUUUUUUUCACAUAGUUAGACAUAAUAUAGUACUAUGAAAUGUUUCUGACCUAAAAUAAUACGAAAUAUGAUUGUUUACAUUAAAAUGUAAAACUUGAUGAUAAAGUAUGAUAAGUUGAAAAAAGUGACAUUUGAAGGUCAGAAAGUCACUUUUCAUCAAAAGUACCAUAACAAAACUUGUUUCCAUUCAUCCUGUGUGUCCAUGCACACUUGUGCUCUUUAUCCGCUCAAAACGCUAUACAGCGAACGAGAAGGCGCUAGGAGCAAAGGAAAGUGGUUUUUCUAACAAACUCAUGUAAUCAAGUGCCCGACGUACUCCAAUUUGAUUUUUUUCACAUAGUUAGACAUAAUAUAGUACUAUGAAAUGUUUCUGACCCUAAAAUAAUACGAAAUAUGAUUGUUUACAUUAAAAUGUAAAACUUGAUGAUAACGUAUGAUAAGUUGAAAAAAGUGACAUUUGAAGGUCAGAAAUUCACUUUUCAUCAAAAGUACCAUAACAAAACUUGUUUCCAUUCAUCCUAUGUGUCCAUGCACACUUGUGCUCUUUAUCCGCUCAAAACGCUAUACAGCGCUUCGAGAAGGCGCUAGGAGCAAAGGAAAGUGGUUUUUCUAACAAACUCAUGUAAUCAAUUGCCCGACGUACUCCAAUUUGAUUUUUUUCACAUAGUUAGACAUAAUAUACUACUAUGAAAUGUUUCUGACCUAAAAUAAUACGAAAUAUGAUUGUUUACAUUAAAAUGUAAAACUUGAUGAUAAAGUAUGAUAAGUUGAAAAAAGUGACAUUUGAAGGUCAGAAAUUCACUUUUCAUCAAAAGUACCAUAACAAAACUUGUUUCCAUUCAUCCUAUGUGUCCAUGCACACUUGUGCUCUUUAUCCGCUCAAAACGCUAUACAGCGACUGAGAAGGCGCUAGGAGCAAAGGAAAGUGGUUUUUCUAACAAACUCAUGUAAUCAAGUGCCCGACGUACUCCAAUUUGAUUUUUUUCACAUAGUUAGACAUAAUAUAGUACUAUGAAAUGUUUCUGACCUAAAAUAAUACGAAAUAUGAUUGUUUACAUUAAAAUGUAAAACUUGAUGAUAAUGUAUGAUAAGGUGAAAAAAGUGACAUUUGAAGGUCAGAAAUUCACUUUUCAUCAAAAGUACCAUAACAAAACUUGUUUCCAUUCAUCCUAUGUGUCCAUGCACACUUGUGCUCUUUAUCCGCUCAAAACGCUAUACAGCGAACGAGAAGGCGCUAGGAGCAAAGGAAAGUGGUUUUUCUAACAAACUCAUGUAAUCAAGUGCCCGACGUACUCCAAUUUGAUUUUUUUCACAUAGUUAGACAUAAUAUAGUACUAUGAAAUGUUUCUGACCUAAAAUAAUACGAAAUAUGAUUGUUUACAUUAAAAUGUAAAACUUGAUGAUAACGUAUGAUAAGUUGAAAAAAGUGACAUUUGAAGGUCAGAAAUUCACUUUUCAUCAAAAGUACCAUAACAAAACUUGUUUCCAUUCAUCCUAUGUGUCCAUGCACACUUGUGCUCUUUAUCCGCUCAAAACGCUAUACAGCGAACGAGAAGGCGCUAGGAGCAAAGGAAAGUGGUUUUUCUAACAAACUCAUGUAAUCAAGUGCCCGACGUACUCCAAUUUGAUUUUUUUCACAUAGUUAGACAUAAUAUAGUACUAUGAAAUGUUUCUGACCUAAAAUAAUACGAAAUAUGAUUGUUUACAUUAAAAUGUAAAACUUGAUGAUAAAGUAUGAUAAGUUGAAAAAAGUGACAUUUGAAGUGUAGAAAGUAACUUUUCAUCAAAAGUACCAUAACAAAACUUGUUCCCAUUCAUCCUGUGUGUCCAUACACACUGGUGCUCUUUAUACGUUGAAAACGCGAUACAGCACUUUAGAAGGCGCCAGGAGCAAAGGAAAGGGGUUUUUCUAACAAACUCAUAUAAAAAUUGCCCGACAUACUCCAAUAUGGUAUUUUUCACAUAGUUAGACAUAAUAUAGUACUAUGAAAUGUUUCUGACGUGAAAUAAUACGAAAUAUGAUUGUUUACAUUAAAAUGUCAAACUUGAUGAUAAUGUAUGAUAAGGUGAAAAAAGUGACAUUUGAAGUGUAGAAAGUCACUUUUCAUCAAAUGUGCCUUAAUAAAACUUCAUUAUUCAUUCGUCCUGUGUGUCCAUACACUCUGGUGCUCUUCAG